AUGUCCAUAUUUCUAUCACACAUGAUGCAAACAAUAAAUAAUUUCCCCAUAGUCUCCAAGCAGUUCUUGAGUUGUAGUUUCUCAGCUUUACUCUUCAAAACCCUGAGAACAGUCAUGAACCGGUGGACAACAAUGCUUUUCAGCCAUUUCUACCUUCAUUCAAUACUUUGAGUAUUUUUGAAAAGGUUAGGCAUAUUAUCAGGCUCACUUCAUCCAAAGAUGGAGCACAAGAUUUGAAACCCAAGGGAAAGCUCCCCACCAGUCCCUUCAUCCCCAAAGUUUUCUCUUAACCAACUAUACAUGACUCCUGAAAUACUGUUAGAGUCUUAGACUCAUAGGAUUUUAGAAACCAAAGUGGCUUUGCAAAGUAUCUAACCCCAAUGUCUCAUUUUACAAAUGAAGUAAUAAGAUUAAGCCACUUGCCAAGAACAGACAUAAAAUUCAUGCCACUGAGUUGAGAUAUUAUUUCCAGAGAAUUCCUAUAAAAAUGUACUUCUAACUUAAGAGAGGAGUUUUUUGGGUCUUUUUUAGGGAUGGGAGGAGAGUGUGAACCCCUGGUUUCAUUUUUUUUUUUAAAACUCACCUUCUCUCUUGGAAUCUAUCCAAAGUAUUAGUUCCAAAGCAGAAGAGCAAUAAGGACUAGGCAAUGGGGGUUAUUUGGCUUGCCAGGAAGUAUCUGAGGUCCAAUUUGAACCCAAGACCUCCCAUCUCCAGGUCUGGCUCUCUUCCCAGUGAGCCAUCUAGCUAACCCCUCUCUGAUUUCAUUUGUGUGGGAAACUGCUAGGAAGGAAACUCCUACCAAUGCAGAUCAGUAGGUCAGUCAAUUAACAUUUAGUAAGCACUUAGUAGACAACUAAAGGGACAUGGUAGAUAGAGAGCUGGUCCUGGAGUUGAGAAGAUUUAUCUUCCCAAGUUCAAUUCCAGUCUUAAAUAUUCACUGGCUAUGGGACCAAGGGCAAGUCUCUUAACUUUGUUGGCCUCAGUUUCCUUAUAUGUAAAAUUAACUGGAGAAGGAAAAUGGCAAACCAUUCUAAUAUCUCUGCCAAGAAAACCCCAAAAGAACCCCAAAGAGUCAGAUACACUUGAAAAAUGACUAAAUAACAAAAAAUAUUGUGUGUUAGGCCAACACUGAGAAUACAAAGACAGGCAAAAGAUGAUCCCUGCCCUUAAGGAGCUAACCAGCUAAUGGAUCUCGACCUAUAGCUGAGUUUGUGAUUUAUAAUCUUAGGGGGUCUCCUGGGUCACUGGGAAGUUAGAUAGCUUGUUCAGCUAGGAAAUAUCUGAGGUCAAAGCUGAACCUAGGAUCUCCCAUCUCUAAGCUUGGCUCUCCAUCCACUGAGCCACCUAGCUGCCCCUUGGAAUAAGUAUUUAUAUAGCACCUACCAUGUGCCAGGUACUGUGCACUGGGAAUAAAUAUUUAUAUAUAGCACCUACUAUGUGCCA
rnacentral:lncRNA from 1 species